CAAAUGAGCGGAUUGAAAUGGUU
rnacentral:piRNA from 1 species